CUGGGUGAACUCCGGGAGUUGGUGAUGGACAGGAAGGCCUGGCGUGCUGCGAUUCAUGGGGUCGCAAAGAGUCGGACACAACUGAGCGACUGAACUGAAGUGAACCGAAAGUACAGGACCCGAUAUAUUCAACCUUGCCUUGGCUCAUCCCUAAAUUCAGUGCCAGCCCGAGGAUGCCCCAACUCCUCUGGAGUUGGGACAGGAGCCUGGUACCAGAAAAGCUGACAUCAGAGCUACUCUGAGGAGAACAGGACCUCCUGCCCUGAGAUGAAUCCCUCAAACACCCACUCUUCAGCUCUCCCCAAAUAGAACUUGGGCUUCCCUCAUAGCUCGGUCAGUAAAGAAUCCCCCUGU
ensembl:lncRNA